AAGAAGGCCUUCGGGUUGUAAAGCUCUUUUAGUCCGGGAAGAAACACCGGCUCUAACACAGUCCGGGAAUGACGGUACCUGAAGAAUAAGACCGGCUAACUACGUGCCAGCAGCCGCGGUAAUACGUAGGGUGCAAGCGUUAAUCGGAGCCUUACU
rnacentral:rRNA from 1 species